rnacentral:rRNA from 1 species
UACGUAGGGGGCAAGCGUUGUCCGGAUUUAUUGGGCGUAAAGAGCGUGUAGGCGGCCAGGUAGGUCUGCUGUGAAAACUCGAGGCUCAACCUCGAGACGUCGGCGGAAACCAUCUGGCUAGAGUCCGGAAGAGGAGAGUGGAAUUCCGUGGUGUAGCGGUGAAAUGCGCAGAUAUCAGGAAGAACACCCGUGGCGAAGGCGGCUCUCUGGGACGGUACUGACGCUGAGGCGCGAAAGCGUGGGAGCGAUCGG